ACACGUGGACGGCCGGGGGGUCAGGGCGAUGCAUGCGGGUCGCCUCCUCCGCUGGUACCACCGGGGCAAAGAAAAAGACGAGGAUCCGGAAGUUGUACCUGCUUUUCUUUAAAUUUUCUUUAUAUCGAAGUUGUUAGCUUUCAUAAUCACGCUUUGAGCUCGAUUUUCUCGCUCUAACCUGGUGGAACUGUGCGAGUGCUCCCUCUCUCUAUCUCUAGGACCAGUGGAGGCGCAAGUUGUCCCCUUGUUUUGAUCCUCAUCUCCUCGCAUACUCGAGAUCACCCAUUGCUUUUGUGGGGUUUGCAAGAAUUCUUCCACAGCAUUCAUCUUCUUGUUCUUGUUCUCUGUUUCAUUGGUCUCCUCAGCGAAGAUUCGGAGAAGCGAUUUCCCUCUCGCGUUUCGGUGUUGUUCGGCGUGAUUUGAUGGGCAUUUUCCCCGUCUGCUUCUUCCAGGAAGCGCUCUCUUUUGUAACUUCCUACAAUGGGGUGACUCGUUUCUUUUCCGCUCGUUGAAUCGGACUGGGUUUUCUUGGUAGAUGUAAAACUAGUGCCGUUCGACUCUCUGGGGUUUGGUUUGCUCGUCGUCGCGAAAAUGCGAUAGCGUUUUGGAUACGAAACUCGGAUGGGUUUUUUCUUCUCUUCAGUUUAGGGCUAGGGUUUGGUAGUUUUUUGAUCUGGAGAUCGUUAAGAGUUUGCUUUCGCGGACGCAUUUCAUUUUCUGUGUGGUUGUCCUUGUUUUGUUUCGGGGAAGUUUUGUGUUCGGAUUAAGUUUGUUGCUACUCAUUGAGGGAGAGGGAUUUUACUUUUCUCUGAGUUCAUUUGAGUUUAGUUGAACAUACUCAUACUUUACUGAAUUCACAAGCUCACUGACCUAGCUGGCACGAGUACCUAUUUAUUAUUGAAAUAUACUCCCUUGUGGAUCUUAGGCUCGCUGGCUUUCGGUGUAGUCUCACGGGUUUUGGAUAAUUUUCUUUGUUUAAAUGGUGUGGUUCUGACGCUGUUGCUCCCCAUGUUGUUCUCACUAGAUGCAGAUGCAUCUUGAUUAAGUCAUAAAUGCCCCUUAGGUAUUGGUUUUGUAAUCUAUUCUUCUGAUGAUAAUUUAUGGGCAUGCAAUAUGUUCUUUCCUUUCCUUUUGAUUAUUUCUUUUAAAGAUCUUGAGUUGCGAGAUUUCAGUGCUCUGUGCUCCUUUUACUCACGUCUGUGCUGAUUCCUUUGAAACAUAUGCCUAGUAAGAUUCAACCUUGGAAGCUGUCCGUCUCUUGUUGUGUUUAAAAGUGCGUAUGGGGACAUUUUUCCUGGCUUAGAGCAAUCUGUGCUUCUGGAGAUUUUAGUUGAGACCCUUUUUUAAAUAAGGCAAACAAAUUUCAAUGGCUAUGUCAUGUUUAAAUGUUCUGAAAUAUUGCUUAUAUCCUUCUAAUUUGAAUUGGGGAAUACUCUAACAAUAAUCCAAGACAGUACUCUUGUUGGUGAGGAUAAUGGGCUAUUGAAUUCAGUCAUGUAAUGCGCAAUGCUCCAUAGAUUAUGGUCAAAGAUUUAUACAAGCAUGCCAUUAGUAGAAUUCGCCUCUGAGCUUUUCUUUUUGCAGAUUUGGGCCUCUAGGUGAUAUCGUUGCUUGACAACGAGAGAGAGCACGCUAGUUAGCAUCCAGAAAAGGGACAUGGCUGUGUAUAAGCGUGCUCUCUAUCGUUGUCAUAUGAUCUGCAUUUGAGGCUUUGUUCGCAAUCUGUGGCAUAAGCAGAUGGUAACCUCGAAUUAUAUGUCUCAAGUGUAAUAUUUUAAUGCAUGACACUGAUGAGUUGUGAAGGCUUGUGUCAUGCAUAUAUGAUGCACGAGGGUUGAGUCUCCUUUUUCACAUAGCUGGGAGGUAAUGUGAAUUUUCUUUUUCUCCUUAAACUUGACAUUUCAAUGCCUAAUACUAAUGAGUGUGUACUUUGUGUGAUG